rnacentral:lncRNA from 1 species
UUGAGACUCUUGUCCAUUGAUGGUGUGGAUCCUAAGAAGCCCUGAGAGCUGAGGUCCAACAACUUGAUGUAAACCUCAAAGGAUUCAUCAUUGCAACAGAUUAUUCAUGGGCUGAACUUUUCCCUGGACACGCUGCUGUCUGGCUGCUGUUUGGGCCAUUAAAGAAGGAAGUCCAGCAAAAUGCUCAGGUCAUGCAUGCUCUUAUAUGGGAAGCAACCAAGACUGUGGACAAUAUCACCAGAGUAUUGACGUCCUAACUUCAAGAAACCCAAUGAAUGGUGUUGUGUAAGCGAAAGAUUUUCCUCCACUGACCUCCUGGCAUCUGUCAGACUAUUUACUGUCCGGUUUCAACUCCUAGCUCUUUAGUUUAAUGCAAUCUUUUACAUUAAAUAUCUGUCUUUUUAAAUGUAAGAUGCCUGAUAUCCAGGACUUGAAAAGAACUGAUCUUUGCCACCGCCUGUCAACAGAUGGUUCAACUAAUUUUACAAGAACAAUGCCAACAAGAGCCCCUGAGAAACUGUUUCUUAGACCCUGCUUUGCGCCACACCAGAGGGCUUAUGAUCACUUCUGAGUUGUUCAGUGAGGAAUAAUAUUCACUUGUUUUGAACUGAAGGAGGAACUGGGAAUGUUAAACUUUAUCUGAGCCCUGUCCUCACAGGAAACAGUGACAGUUAAGAAAUCUCCCCACUGUUUUGUAUUCUGGGAAAUGAUUAACAACAAAGAAUCAUCCUCCUCCACAUGCGAUAGGAAAGGCGAGGUGCAGUGAAU